UACGGAGGAUCCAAGCGUUAUCCGGAUUCAUUGGGUUUAAAGGGUGCGUAGGCGGAAUAGUAAGUCAGUGGUGAAAGCCCGUAGCUUAACUGCGGAACUGCCAUUGAUACUGCUAAUCUUGAGUACAUUUGAUGUGGGCGGAAUGUGUCGUGUAGCGGUGAAAUGCUUAGAUAUGACACAGAACACCGAUUGCGAAGGCAGCUCACAAAACUGUUACUGACGCUGAGGCACGAAAGCGUGGGGAUCGAACAGG
rnacentral:rRNA from 1 species